rnacentral:rRNA from 1 species
UACGUAGGGGGCAAGCGUUAUCCAGAUUUACUGGGCGUAAAGCGCACGUAGGCGGUCUUUUAAGUCGGGGGUGAAAUCCUGGAGCUCAACUCCAGAACUGCCUUCGAUACUGGAAGACUUGAGUCCGGGAGAGGUGAGUGGAACUGCGAGUGUAGAGGUGAAAUUCGUAGAUAUUCGCAAGAACACCAGUGGCGAAGGCGGCUCACUGGCCCGGUACUGACGCUGAGGUGCGAAAGCGUGGGGAGCAAACAGG